rnacentral:rRNA from 1 species
GACGAACGCUGACGGCGGGCUUAACACAUGCAAGUCGAAGGGAGUGGCGAACGGGUGAGUAACACGGGAGUAAACUGCCCUUUUCUUUGGGAUAAGCCUGGGAAACGGGGUAUAAGACAGGAUGGGUUGGGAUGGUCUCGCGGCUUAUAAGCUGGGUGGUGGGGGGUUGGCUUACCAAGGCUUUGACGGGUAGCCGGCCUGAGAGGGUGCUCGGUCACACUGGGACUGUGAUCCGUCCCAGACUCCUUCGGGAGGCAGCAGUGGGGGAUAUUGCACAAUGUACGAAAGUCUGAUGCAGCGACGUCGUGUGGGGGAUGAAGGCCUUCGUGUUGUAAACUCCUUUCGCCCGCGGAAUGGUAGUGGGUAAAGAAGCGCCGGCUAACUACGUGCCAGCAGCCGCGGUAAUUC